rnacentral:rRNA from 1 species
GACGCUGGCGGCGUGCUUAACACAUGCAAGUCGAACGGAACUCAUUGGAUCAAGACUUCGGUCAAGUGAAUUUGAGUUUAGUGGCGGACGGGUGAGUAACGCGUGAGGAACCUGCCUUUCAGAGGGGGACAACAGUUGGAAACGACUGCUAAUACCGCAUAACGCGUAGAGGUCGCAUGGCCUUUACGCCAAAGAUUUAUCGCUGAAAGAUGGCCUCGCGUCUGAUUAGCUAGAUGGAGAGGUAACGGCUCACCAUGGCGACGAUGUCUAGGGGAACUGAGAGGUUAAUCCCCCACACUGGUACUGAGACACGGACCAGACUCCUACGGGAGGCAGCAGUGGGGAAUAUUGGGCAAUGGGGGAAACCCUGACCCAGCAACGCCGCGUGAAGGAAGAAGGCCUUCGGGUUGUAAACUUCUUUUAGCAGAGACGAAGAACGUGACGGUACCUGCAGAAAAAGCAACGGCUAACUACGUG